GUGGGGAAUAUUGGACAAUGGGCGCAAGCCUGAUCCAGCCAUGCCGCGUGAGUGAUGAAGGCCUUAGGGUUGUAAAGCUCUUUCAGUGGGGACGAUAAUGACGGUACCCACAGAAGAAGCCCCGGCUAACUUCGUGCCAGCAGCCGCGGUAAUACGAAGGGGGCUAGCGUUGUUCGGAUUUACUGGGCGUAAAGCGCACGUAGGCGGCUCGUUAAGUCGGGGGUGAAAUCCUGGAGCUCAACUCCAGAACUGCCUUCGAUACUGGCGAUCUUGAGUCCGGAAGAGGUGAGUGGAACUCCUAGUGUAGAGGUGGAAUUCGUAGAUAUUAGGAAGAACACCAGUGGCGAAGGCGGCUCACUGGUCCGGUACUGACGCUGAGGUGCGAAAGCGUGGGGAGCAAACAGGAUUAGAAACCCUAGUAGUCC
rnacentral:rRNA from 1 species